GUCACUGGUUCGAGACCGGUAUCGCCCACCA
rnacentral:tRNA from 1 species